rnacentral:rRNA from 1 species
AUGGCUCAGGACGAACGCUGGCGGCGUGCUUAACACAUGCAAGUCGAGCGAUGAAGCUUCUUCGGAAGUGGAUUAGCGGCGGACGGGUGAGUAACACGUGGGUAACCUGCCUCAUAGAGGGGAAUAGCCUUUCGAAAGGAAGAUUAAUACCGCAUAAGAUUGUAGUACCGCAUGGUACAGCAAUUAAAGGAGUAAUCCGCUAUGAGAUGGACCCGCGUCGCAUUAGCUAGUUGGUGAGGUAACGGCUCACCAAGGCGACGAUGCGUAGCCGACCUGAGAGGGUGAUCGGCCACAUUGGGACUGAGACACGGCCCAGACUCCUACGGGAGGCAGCAGUGGGGAAUAUUGCACAAUGGGGGAAACCCUGAUGCCAGCAACGCCGCGUGAGUGAUGACGGUCUUCGGAUUGUAAAGCUCUGUCUUUAGGGACGAUAAUGACGGUACCUAAGGAGGAAGCCACGGCUAACUACGUGCCAGCCGCCGC